CAAGGCGGGAGAUAAGUCAGACCCCUGCAUUCAGUUGCUAGAGAGGUGGCUGAGAGGAAGUCACUGAAGGGACCAAGAAGUGACAUUUGUCAUUUUCUCUCCUGCCUCCAGCUUUCUUUGGCUCACAUUUCCACCCUAUGCCCUAGGCUGCCCUGACAUUCAGCCCUGCUGCCCCAGUGCCCUCCAGGACUUGUAUCCCCACCCAUCCAUUGUACAGCAA
rnacentral:lncRNA from 1 species